GGAUAGUGGCGACGGGUGAGUAACACGUGGGCAAUCUGCCCUGCACUCUGGGACAAGCCCUGGAAACGGGGUCUAAUACCGGAUACUGAUCAUCUUGGGCAUCCUUGGUGAUCGAAAGCUCCGGCGGUGCAGGAUGAGCCCGCGGCCUAUCAGCUUGUUGGUGAGGUAACGGCUCACCAAGGCGACGACGGGUAGCCGGCCUGAGAGGGCGACCGGCCACACUGGGACUGAGACACGGCCCAGACUCCUACGGGAGGCAGCAGUGGGGAAUAUUGCACAAUGGGCGAAAGCCUGAUGCAGCGACGCCGCGUGAGGGAUGACGGCCUUCGGGUUGUAAACCUCUUUCAGCAGGGAAGAAGCGAAAGUGACGGUACCUGCAGAAGAAGCGCCGGCUAACUACGUGCCAGCAGCCGCGGUAAUACGUAGGGCGCGAGCGUUGUCCGGAAUUAUUGGGCGUAAAGAGCUCGUAGGCGGCUUGUCGCGUCGGUUGUGAAAGCCCGGGGCUUAACCCCGGGUCUGCAGUCGAUACGGGCAGGCUAGAGUUCGGUAGGGGAGAUCGGAAUUCCUGGUGUAGCGGUGAAAUGCGCAGAUAUCAGGAGGAACACCGGUGGCGAAGGCGGAUCUCUGGGCCGAUACUGACGCUGAGGAGCGAAAGCGUGGGGAGCGAACAGGAUUAGAUACCCUGGUAGUCCACGCCGUAAACGGUGGGCACUAGGUGUGGGCGACAUUCCACGUCGUCCGUGCCGCAGCUAACGCAUUAAGUGCCCCGCCUGGGGAGUACGGCCGCAAGGCUAAAACUCAAAGGAAUUGACGG
rnacentral:rRNA from 1 species